GGAUCGGGAACUGCGGUCAGGGAGCCUCCGCGGGGCCUUUUCAUCCGCUGUGUUCCCCUUUGCAAAAAGCCUCCUAAACAACCUUUGUUGUCCCAUCUCCAGAAGGAAAAGCAUCUCAGUCCUUCACCGACCUGGGGAUGCCAGCAGCAUGGGUGAGCUCUGGGUGAAUUUGUUCGGGUUGUGGCGUCAGUUAUUUGUUUGGUUCAUUAUAUUCACGUGGGAAGACAAGAAGCGUUCUUGGAGUAUUAGGGAGGACACGUAUCUGAUAUCAUUAAGCGCGUGAGUGAAUAAACACCUGUAAAUACGAAAUUUACUAUCACGGAAAAGCCAGGCUACUCAGCUCCACCUGAGCUCGCCUGACCUCCAGAGCCCUGCCAGUCUCCCAGAACUUCAAAAUAUGAGUGUUUACAAAAAAAAGACGAUAUAAGCUUCUUUCCGUUAGUAUCAGCACUUGGAAUUGAAUUUCCUAUAAUUUAGGAAGAGUAAUUACUAAGCAGGGGACCGAGGCUUGGCACUAUGGGAAUAUCCUGUUUCCUGAGAUUUUUGAUGUGUUCCUGGAUCACGUGUUGUAUUGAGGGUUACUGAAUGUUGUUUUUCUGGUGCAUUCAUUCUUAGCUGCCAGUUUGUUCUCCUCUUUUAUCUUUUUUUCUACCUUUCCAUUACUACUGUGUGCUCCUGAAUUCUGUCUCAAUGUGCUGCAAUCCAUAUAUUAUCAUUCUUUUUGAUAGUUCAACUUUAUCUAGGGGUAGCUCCUUUCAGCGCUCUCUAUUCCACACAACCCCGUGGAUGUUUGAGGACCUCAUUGCUUUCUGACUCAACAAGAUGUUACAGGUUCAUUUGGUACAUUCCUACCCCAGGUGUAGAGGCAGACAUUUCUCCCAGAGAGCCUAGUUCUUUGUAGAAAUCAACAUCUGUUUCCCUGGGGUAAAUUCUGUUUCAAUGUCAUUGGUUCAAGGCCCUUCCAGAACUAGAAAACAUUUUUUAAAAUCGUAAGUUUGUGUUCAAGUUACCAAUGCAAAGGUAACAUUGUAUUUUUUCUCUUACCUCCUCAGGUUUCAAAUUUGUGUUUUUUUCUGUCUUGGUUCCUAAUAACAUUAGUUUAUUUCUUAUUUGCCUUAUCCUACAUGACACAUCCUGAAAAUGCAAUAUUACAAUACUACUAUUAUGAAAGUUUCAUGUUUCUUAAUAGUUCUUUUUGUACUAAGUUUAUAUUCUUUUUAUCCUUGUUACCAUUUUCGAAGUCAUUUUACUUCCUGAGCAUAUAAAACUUUUAUGUGGUUCAAAACUCAAAACGACAUGAGAAAGUAUACUCAGAAGUUUUCCAUCCGUAUCUGUUGUGUUUCAUUAACAUGUUCCCAGUGUUUUUUUCCUUUCAGAAAUACGCAAUAUAUAUGUGUUCUCAUGCAUAUUUGUGCGUCCUCUUAUCUCCUUACAAUCUUACACAAACAUAAUAACAUUCUGCACUUCAUGUUUUCACUUAAAUAUAUAUAUGCUGGAAAUCACUCACCUUGCCUCAUAGAGAUCUUCUUUUUCCAUUAGUUUCCCAUUAAGGGGUACAAUAUUUAAGGAGUUAUCUAUGGAUACAAUUUGAGUUUUUUCUAUUUUUUGUUCUUAGUAAUCUUGCCGAAUAUCCUCUACUUGUAUUGUAUCAUUUUGCCAUUUCAGGUGCAUUUUUUUAAAGCAAAGUUUAAAGUAAUUGUGUAGAAAAAUAAUCAACAUUUUUGUUAACUGCAAGCACUUAUUUUCCUCCACCCUCCCCUCCAAAUAAUCCCGGCUCUGUAUUGUUAGAGUAAUUAAGUAUAAUUCCUGAAAACUCAGAUUUAUAUUGUGUCAUGAACAGUUAGUUAUAAUCUAGAUACAUUUUAACGAUCUUGAGAAGGAUUUUUGUUGCCCAUCAGUCCACAAUCUCUGGGUGCCUUCAGUGAGUGCCCUGCAGUGAUCUUGACGUCAAGGAAAGGAGUAUUCAGGCAGAUUUUACCAUCAGCCUCACAGGAUGGUGGCUACUGAUGUGUUGUAUGAUAAGUCCUAGGUGAUGCUUUCAGACUCUCUUUAGGUCACCCCUGCACAAUAUGGCUUUGGAUUUUAUAGGACAGCAGAACUGCUCUGGUGCCUUUAGGAGGAAGAGCUGAAAUCGGCCUGAGAAUGCUGUUUUUUAAGUCAGCUGCUCCUAUAUGUCCUUUGGAAAAGGUGCUACAUAAUCUCCUUCAGGAGUCUUCUCAUCAGGGGAGAUCAGGAGUCCCAGUUCUCAGGGCUGAAGUUUCCUUACCUGUAAAGUAAGACUAUCACCCUUUUUCUCUUAGGCAGCCUGGCUCACAGUCCCCUUUUCUGGCUCUAGGUGAGGCACAACUACUCUGACAUUUGAUGGCAGUAGUGUAUAUUUAUGUGAGUUUUCCUGAGCAUGCAGGGAUAUACAGGAAUUUCAAAUGGGGAUGCAAUGACUUCCAGGGAGGUGAAUGUGGGAAUUACAGUCAGCUCUGGAUCCUCUUGCAUACUUUAUUUUCCCUAAGUUCUUACUACAGACACUUUUGUCCUUCCUGAGGAAAAGACAGAGGAUGAAAGAAUGGGGGCUGGCUGACUGAAAAAUUGUUAUUAGGUAAAAACAAAGCUUACUCUUCUAUAAAAUGACAUACUUGCAUCUACCAGGUAGACACAUUUUCUUCUGGGUAGUCCUUCCUCUAGAGCUUCUCAAAGGAGAUAAGGCCCCAUUCAAUGAACUCUGCAGUUGAAUUUUCCACAUAGUGGAUUUGCUCCUAUUGUGAGGGAUUAUCCUGAAAGUCAUCCCAGUAGUUCAGUCAUUCCUAAUGAAUCUUGACCCUCAUGCUGUCAACUGCAUGUCUCUUAUUUUGCUGAGGGCUCUGACAGCAGGUAAGGAAGAUGAAAGGGUGUUUUUCUCAAAGGAUUUGUUUAUUCAUCAGCAUUUAUCAGUAGUGUGCAGUGUGCUCAAGGAUAUGCUUCAAUAGAGAGAAAUAAAUCAAGAAGAUCCUCUAGUUGUAGUGAGAUAAGUUCAUUUGUAAGAGGUGCAAUUAAAGGCUUGUGACUGGAGGAGAUAAACAGUGGGUGAGUGUAGAUACGGUGAAGAGUACCUAGGACCACUGAACCCUGGGGGAGAUAAUGGGAGACCUGAGAACCCUGUAUUGGCUUUGAGUCUCCCAUCCUCAUUAUCCAGUAAACAUUGGUGGAGAUUUUACUUUCUCGGUUCAGCCUAUUUGUGAUGGUUUAGGAUUUAGUGACCUUUGAGGAUGUUGUUGGGGACUUCACCCAGGAAGAGUGGACAUUAUUGGACCUCACUUAGAGAAACCUAUUCAGAGAUGUGAUACUGGAGACUACAAGAAUCUGGUCACAAUAGAAUGAGAAAUGGGACUUAUAAAUAAAGAAUUAGCACUUCAUCAGGAUAUAUUUUGGGGGGAAACAGCCAGCCCCCCAAAUAGGAUACAAGUGAAGCCUUCUUAUGGACAUGCAAACUAACACAGGAUUGAAAACUAAGACUAAAGUAUGGCUGGAAUUCUGCCCCCCUGUAAUUCAUAUGUUAAAGCCCUAACCCAUAAUUCCUCAAAAUGUAUCCAUAUUUAGAGAUGUUUGUUAAAGAAGUGAUUAAGUUAAAGUGAGGUCUUUUGUGGGGGUCUCUAAUUCAGUAUCACUGGUGUCCUAAUAAGAAGUGAAAGAGACACCAGGGAUGCAUACACACAGAGAGAGAACCAUGUGAAGAUACUAGAAGAUGGCCAUCUGCAAGCCAAGGAAAGAGGCCUGGAACAGAUUCUUCAAUAAAACCUUCCUGAGAAACCCAUCCGUGUUGGCACCUUGAUUUUGGACUUCUGGUCUCCAGAUUUGUGGGAAAAUAUAUUUCUGCUGUUUUAGUCAUCAAGUCUGUGGUACUUCUUUCUGUAAGGAACAUGGUCAACAUCUGCAUAUUGCUCAAGCUUUGGUAUCCACGUGAGAAUAUGCACUGUGUAAAACCCUGUGAAUGUAAAGUGUACAGGAAAACUUUCACGCUCUUCAUAACUUACUGUUUAGGAACUCACAGUCAAGGGGUGCAGUAUAAAUUUAAGGAGUGUGGGAAAGCCAUCAGAAUAUCCUCGUAAACCAGCAUUAUAAGAACUCACACUGAAGCCAUACCAUGUAAGAAAUGUGGAAAACCCUUUACUAUUUGCUCAGUUUUUACUAAAUAAGUUAGAUCUUGUAGUGGAGAGAAAUCCUAAUAUUAUAAGAUGUGGAAAGUUGUAGUUCUGCUAAAUACUUUAAUAUUCACUUGUACUUUUGCAGCGGAGAAAAACUUGAUGAAUAUCAGAAAGGGUUGAAAGUCAUUCUUCCAUUAGAUUGUACCUCAUACUUUAAUAAACACGGGAUGAUUCACGCUCUAAAAAUGGGAUAACUUAGACGCAAGAGAAAUUGUGAAUGUAGGGAAUAUAAGAAAGGUUUCCCUUAGUCCUGCAAUCUUAUGGUAUGCUGAGAGAAACAUUGCUUUCUGGGUGGUUCUGUAGAUCUAUUUUGAACAGUUAUGAUUAUGUCCUGACCAUUUUGGGGCACAAUGUGUCUUUCUUUCUUGUGAUAACCAUGGCAAGCCAGUCUAGUUGCUACACCUUCUGGUUUGCAACCAGGCCAAAGUGGGCCAAUAAGAUUUACACUUAAUCCUAUUCUAGCCACCUGGAUUCACUUGUUGGAUUGACAUGGUUUUACAUUGUGAAGACAGUGACUGUUUGAAUUCACUGCUCAUGGAGUGCAUCUACUUUGGCUCACACUGGCCAAGGUGGGGACAUAAUACAUCUCUCUAAAAUUUCUACAAAAGCCCUCCUCCUUCUCUCCUUAUCCAUUCACAUAAAAGGCCAGUGUGCAAGCAGAGUGUGAGUGGAGAAAAGGUGAGGUCAUACACCCAGAUUUCAUGGCCAUGAGGGAGAACAACAACCCCAGCACUUGGGGAGAGAAUACUUUUGACCUCAGGCAGUGUAGGGAGGCGCUCAAAAAAAAAAUAUAGCACCACAGCCUGGAAAAACAAUGAUACUGUCUGCCUGAGGCAAGCCACAGCUGGAGCUGGAAAUAUGACGGGCUGCUGGGUUGUCACUCCAUCCAUGUGCUAUGAAAAAAGAAAAACUUAUUAGUGUGACCUGUCCUGAUAAUCUGCCGUGCUUGAAGCCAUCACUGGCAGUUCCUGAUUGCAGUCCCUGAGAACAGAAAGAGACCAGCACAUCCUCAUUUCGGUCUGUAUGAGACAAAAUCAUAUACUUCUGAUGCUGGAGCAGCCUUGAGUUAUGUCAUGACUGGCCACCGAGGAUGCAGCUGCUUGAUGACACUUUCCAUGGGGAUUAUCAAAGCUGUGUAACAGUAAUCCACAUCAAGCUUAAAUAUAAAACCUGAGAAGGAAUGACCUGUGUCUUUUAUGUUGUAUGUUUGCAGAGCAAAGUGGGUUGUGGAGUGGUUAUCUACCUGUAUGAGUUGCUGUUUAGCCUGUGUUUUACGGCAUUUAGUUCUUAGGAACAACAUAAAAUACAGCUGAUUAGUCUUUACUCCCUUGUGUGGGCUGUAAGUGAUAAUACACUGGCCUUA